rnacentral:lncRNA from 1 species
UUUUUUUAUUUUCUUCGGUUUAUUUUCGUUAGAUCGGUUUUUCUGACGGUUUAUUUAUUUUGCGGACGUUCGUCCGUUCGUUCGUUUAAACGAACGCCGUUCACCCGUUAGUCACGGACAGCGAACGUUCAUUCGUUAGCAUGUUCGUCAGUUUUUCUUUUUCUCGGAUUUUUCGCGAUUAUUUACGAUUGCGAUUUCUGAUUCGGAUUUUCGUUCUAGUAUAACUUUUCGCUCGUUUAUCGGAAUCAGGCGACUCAAGCGCCUAGAUCUUCGUCUUGAAGCCCUGUUUCUGUUUAACCAACUAGAACAGAUACUGUAAAAUUUGACUUUAGUCCAGAUUAGUAAUCGGAUCUUGUUUCUUUCGCCAUUUGAGUUUCGUUGCUCCAUUUGAUUUGAUUCUUUUCGUAAACUGGAGUUCUUAAGUUGAACUUUCUGGUUAGAUCUUUUUAUUUGAGUUUUACCCGUGCAUCUUUGCUUGAUUGCUUAUGUAUGUUAUUAUUUGUUUGCGAUAGAAUUCCCGGAGUGCGAAGCGUGCUACUACGAGUCACUGGGUUUUGCGGAUCAUCAGCAAGGCAAGUAACACAUUGAUCAUACCCCUUCAUUACCCCGUUUUUAUGCAUUAGUUACAACUCUCACACAUUGCAUGAUUAGGAUCUCUUAACUUGUGGGUUUGGGAAGUAGAUGAUGAGGUAGAACCUAUUACCUGUUUUAAUAUCAAACCCUUGGGAGUUACUUCUACGUUAUGCUUAUAUUGCUAUGCUAUGCUCGUAGACGUGGAUUGGGUUGAGUGUAUCCAUGACAGUUGUGAGAUUGUUAAUUGAUGGUUCAACUUAAGGUGGCAACUUUAAUACACAUCUGGGUGGAUUGCUUGUUUGGGCACCUGGAGAAUCCAGUGUUGUCGUAGGAUAUCCCGGAGUACCUGUGUGAUCAUCCUACGGUCCGCCACCCAGGCUCAAAGGGAUCAUAAUAUUAUUCAUGCUAGAAACUUCCGUGUGCAACCACAAGCCAUUAUGGGCUCCGGCAUAGUGGAGUAUGUUGCAUGACCUCUUUCAGUGGUGGGCUAGCAGAUGUAGAGGGAAAAUAGGUGUAACUGUCCACCUAGAGUAAAGAGUUAAUGCUUCUGAAAGACUGUGUCUCGGUCAUCCGUUUCUCAAACACCAUGUAGUGCGAGAAAUACAAUGGAGGCGAUCGAGUCUUGUGGGGAAAAGUGCGCCAACCUCUGCAGAGUGUACAAACUAAUCAUGGUUAGCCAUGUCCCCGGUUAUGGACAUCUUGAGUAUCUAGUACUUGGAUUAUCCUAUUGUAUCUCAUCACUCUAAUUUAAUUUGUUGGGUUGAUAAUUACCUUUAAUUGGGAUUGAGUUGGAGGAACCUUCUCAAUGAUGUUUCAACUACCAUGAUAGUUAAAUAAAAAAAUUAUUCCUUUGUUGUAGGGAAAAAUUGGCUUUUCGCAAAAAUCAUUUAACCUUAGAGCCUCCACCAGCCAUAUAUGCAUAUAGUGAUAGCAUAAUCUGUUCAUUGCUCUACUGGGUUAUAUUGCCAGCAUAUUCCAUGUGCUGACCCAUUUUUGGGCUGCAACGUAUUAUGUUGCAGACUUUUCAGACGACGAGUAAAGGUGCGAUAGGUCGUUGUCAUGCACUCAGCUAUGCCGUUGGAGUUGAUGGACUCACUUUAUCUUCCAAGCCUUCCGCUGUUAUCGUGUUAGAUGGCCUUAAGCCAUAUUUAUUGUAAUAAGUUCUCUUUUGAGACAUUCGGUAAUAAGUGUGUGAUUGCUACUCUGUUAUAAAUCCUUCGAGUACUGUGUGUGUCAGCAUUACCGAUCCAGGGAUGACACUGAAGCACAGAGACUUGACCGUUUGAGGUCGGGUCGCUACAUUUAUUAUACACUUUUAUAUUAUUUUUGGGACUAACCUAUUAACCGGAGGCCCGGCCCAGAUUGCUGUUUUUUUUGCCUAUUUCAGUGUUUCACAGAAAAGGAAUAUCAAACGGAGUCCAAAUGGAAUGAAACCUUCGGGAAUGUGAUUUUUGGAACGAACGUGAUCCAGAGGACUUGGAGUCCACGUCAAGAAAGCAACGAGGAGGGCACGAGGCAGGGGGCGUGCCUACCCCCCUGGGCGCGCCCUCCACCCUCAUGGGCCCCUCGUGGCUCCACUGACCGACUUCUUUCGCCUAUAUAUACCCAUCUACCCUGGAAACAUCAGAGACGGAGCCAAAACCCUAUUUCCACUGCCGCAACCUUCUGUACCCGUGAGAUCCCUUCUUGGGGCCUUUUUCGGUGCUCCGCUGGAGGGGGCAUUGAUCACGGAGGGCUUCUACAUCAACACCAUAGCCUCUCCGAUGAUGUGUGAGUAGUUUACCUCAGACCUUUGGGUCCAUAGUUAUUAGCUAGAUGGCUUCUUCUCUCUCUUUGGAUCUCAAUACCAUGUUCUCCUCGAUCUUCUUGGAGAUCUAUUCGAUGUAAUCUUAUUUUGUGGUGUGUUUGUCGAGAUCCGAUGAAUUGUGGGUUUAUGAUCAAGUUUAUCUAUGAACAAUAUUUGAAUCUCCUCUGAAUUCUUUUAUGUAUGAUUGGUUAUCUUUGCAAGUCUCUUCGAAUUAUCAGUUUGGUUUGGCCUACUAUAUUGAUCUUUCUUGCAAUGGGAGAAGUGCUUAGCUUUGGGUUCAAUCUUGCGGUGUCUGUGGGUGUACAAAAGAGGGGGCGCACCUUUGUACCUCUUUACCUGUGCACGGGCAGUCGGAGCCGCGCCCACGGCCACACCAAGCAGAGCAGGGGAGGUGAACCGAGGUAAAACCAAAGCCCGAGGCAACCAGAGCAACGCCAAGGCCAAGACCACAAAGAGCAGAGGGACGAAGGAGGUUCCCCCGGCAAGGCCCUCUCCGGGGCAGCCUCAGCAGCCCCGGCAAGACCCUUGCCGGGGAAGCUCACCCCACACCAACAGAGCGAGCCACCCUUGAGCCCACGGUCUCCGACAUCACGUUGGGCCAGGGCUCGGGAGGCACCUCCAUGGUGGCAUGCAGAUCUUUGUGAAGACAAGGAACACUCAAGAUCAGAUGAGGAUUAGAAGACAGCGAUCCUCGGCAAGAUCCUUGCUGAGGGAAACCACAAGACCCCCGGCAAGAUCCUUGCCGGGAACGACAGCACGCCACGACAAGACCCUUGCCGGGCCACCCGGCAAGGCCCUCACCGAGGACACCAGCAGAGCCACUGCCAGGCCCGCACCAACCAAGUCUCCGUCGCCGUUCGCAUGCAGCUGCAAGCCCAAACCAGCUGGGCAGGCACCUGCGUGGCAACAUGCAGCUUCCAGGCCAACUCAGCAGGAGCCUGCGUGGCGGCAUGCAGAUCUUCGUGAAGACCCUACCACCGCGCCACCUCAGCUGCCUGCCUGCCUACAUGGCACCGCAUGCAUCGCUGGCCAGGGCGCGUGUCGAAGCGAGGAGGAGCGGCGACGGACGGGACGGGCCUCGCCCCCGUCCCCGAUAAAGCUAGGGGACACCUCAGCAGCGCAUUAAAUGCGUCUUGUCCUGUAAUACGAGCGAUAAGCUCGCAAUACUGUACGCCUUUCCACCUCAUGUGUGCCACUGUGGCAACCCCUUUUCCUAUAAAAGGAGGCCAAAGGCGACCAGGAGAAGGAUUCGGCUCUUUCGAACCACGCACUCACCACAGCUAGUUCGAGAGCUCGAGAACUCUCUGAAAUACACACACGAAAGCAGGACUAGGGUUUUACGCAUCCUCGCGGCCCGAACCUGGGUAAACGAUCCUUGUGUUGACUACUGAUCCUGCUCUUCUUGCAACCCUGUGCCCCGGCAACCGUAGUAGGGAUUCUUGUGAUCCCAUAGGUGUCGUUCCACACCGACAUCUUUGGCGCGCCAGGUAGGGGGGCGCAAUUGUGAGGAUCUGGUCUAGUAGUUCGCCUAGCAGUUCUUCGUCGCCAUGGCUCCCAAGAAGGAGACGGCUAUGAGGAAAGGGAACCGCCUGCGAACGUGAAGGACGCCAGCGCGGCGACAGAAAAGCUAAGUCAUUCAGAGCCUUGAGUUAUUUCCUCUUAUACAUAAGGUUAUCGUCCUCGGAGAUCUUGCCUAUGUAUGGAAAACUUGCACGUGAAGGGGCCUUUCCGCGAUUGGCAACGCCCUUGUUCUGUUUCGAGUCCGCUCAACAACUCAAAGCGGCCGCGUCGAGAGUGGCGGGGUAGCCUUCCGCACCUAGCAACGCUCCCGACUCUAACUCGAGUCAAGCUCGACAGUUCGGGCGGCUGCGCUAAGGGCGGUAAGGUGGUUCGCCGGGCAGGCCAAUGGGGAUCCGUCCCCAAGACGCCGCCCUGGGUUUACGCGCCGGCAAACCUACCCAGUUAACGUAGGGUGGACAUAUGAAGGAAAAUCGAACAGGAAAAUAACAUGCAUGAUACUAAAAGUGCUGUAGAGUUAUGUUGCAUCAAAUUGUUGCUGCGGUUCUGACUAGAGAUGGAAAUUGUCUUGGUUGUGAACCUGCAGCAGCGAUAAAAAAACGGGGUGCCUAAUCCCGGCGCUGGCCCUCCACCCUCUGGAUUUCGCCGACACGGCUGAUGAUGGGCUUGAUGCGCUCCAUGAGCGGCGCGAGGUCAGUACCCUCCAGCAAGCUCUCCAGCGCGGCGUCGAAGUCGAGGUCGGGGUACCAGUACGCCACCUUGGUAAGAACCUUGGUCAUGGCACCCUGGCAAAGCCUCCGGGACUCGUCGGCCAGUGAGGCCGCCCGGUUGGCGUGAAGCCGCUCCAAAGCACCGAUGACCUUCUCAAAGAACAUGGUCAGGCUACAAUUGGCGCUCACGCUCCGCUCUGGGGCAUACCUCACGUCCGGCAUCCCCAUGGUGGCCAGCUGUGCGGCGGCCUUGUUGGCAACGAUGGCAAGGCGGUCGAGCCAGCGGUUCUCGCCCUCCACGUGAUCCAUGAAGUUGAGAGCCUCGUUCUUCCGCAGCUGCUUCUCGUCCUCCAGGUUUUUGGUUAGGGUCUCCUCCCGGGCCCUGGCCUCCGACAGCAUCUUCUCGAGACCCUCCAGAUUCAGCUUGAGGUCCUGGAUGGAGUUGUUAGCCUCGGAAAGCUCCCCGGCCUUGCUGACGACCGCGCCCUGCGCCUCUGUCAGGGCGCUGUUAAGCGUGUCCUUCUCCUGGGACAGCUUCAGGGCCUGCUCCUUCAGCCCGUCAUGCUCCGCCUCUAGCUCCUUCGCCUUGCCGGCGUGAACCUGGGCCUGGGCAUUGAGUGCCUCUUUGUGCCUCUGCUCCAGCUCACUGGUCCGCUGCAAGACAAGCUUCUCCACCUCUUCAUCCUUGCCGCGAAGCGUGGCGGCAAGCUUCUCCUCACGCGCGGCAAGGUCCUCCUCCUGGGAGUUUAGCGCGGCCUCGUGCUGGGUCCGGGCAGCUUCGGCGGCAGCGGCCAAGUUCCUCGCCGUUUCUUGGGCUUUCUCGAUGUCGGCGAGCUUCAUGGUGAGCUCCACGUCGCGCUUGGCCAGCUCGCCCUGGGCAGCCUUCAGCUCCUUGUGAGCCUCGCGGAACCAGUCCUGCGUCUCGGCAACGCGCUUCUGGAGGUCCGCCUCCGCCUUCUCCACCACCGCCGUCCUGGACUUAGCCUUGUCCAGGUGGGCGCAGUCGAGCGCCUGGAGCUUCCGGAAGCUGGCGCCCAUGGCGUGGAGGAGCCGCUCCUCCUGCGAGCCGUUGCCACCAACGCUCAGCUCAUCGACGACUACAAGCCCAGUGGCGGCAAGCACUUCGUCAUCGAACACCUCUCCCUCGACGGGCGUCCUGGUGCUCGACGCGCCUGGAAGGUGGACGAACAAGUCGUCACUCACCCUCAGGUACUUGCCGGAGCCGGAAGCGGCAGAGGAGGAAGGCUGGUCAUCAGCCACCUCCUCCUCCUCGGCAGCGGCCUUGCCGGCCUCCCCGGUAGGCCCCUUGGCGGCGUCCUCAGCAGCGCCCUCGGCGGCGAUCUUCUCGGCGUCCACCUCGGCGGCCUUGGCGGCGUCUUCGGCAGCGCCCUUGACGGCCUCCUCGGCGGCGAUCCUCUCGGCGUCCGCCUCGGCGGCCUUGGCGAUGUCCUCGACGAUGGCAUCCACGUCCUCUGGGUUCACCCAGGAGGAAUCUGGACACCAAAGAAGGGAGUAAGGCGAAGCCAAGGCCAAGAGCAAGAAAGAAAAAGGAACAGGGACGAAGGGCGAGCGACUUACCGGCACCAGUGCCUGGCCAGGAAAAGGAAGUCCCCUUCCCGCCAACAUUUGGCGUCGAGGCAAAGCCGCCGGCGCCCAAGUUCUCCCCCUCCUCCUCCAUGUGCGUGGGCUCGGUGCUUGGCGCCCUUGCCGGGGACGCCCCUCAUGGCGGCGUGGUCGAUGGGGGCGGCGUGUUGGGAGUAGCCCUCUGCGGCUCCUCCUGCUGCUGCUCUCCUCCUGCGUACCUGGCAAGGUCAGCGCCAAAGUGUCGUGCCCCUGACACAUGUUGACGAGGGGAGAGUGAUGAACUUACGCUGGGGGCUAUGCCGGGUGUCGGGGAUAUACCCCGCGGUAUGACCCGGCCGGAAGUAUGACCCGGCCGGACUUGGCAUUUCACCGAUGACCCGGCCGGACUCAUGGGUCUGGUGGCUCAUUGGUCAAACAGCUCAUGGACCAGACGACUCACUGGAGACCCGGCGGGCGGAUCAGACGGACGCCACGGCCCAAGGCCCAACAGGCUGGCUUAUACUCCGGUGGGCGGCUUAAGAUGAAAGGUGUGAGGAUUAUUUCCUUUACAAGGAAGCAAGACCUGGACUUGUAUUCAACUUAUAAAGAAAGAUAGACUAGUCAUAAUUCUACUAGGACUCCGCAUGUAACCCGCCCCUCUAACUUAUAUAAGGAGGGGCAGGGCACUCCAAAGAGGGACAAGUAACAAGAAACAAUCUCUAGGGCUAGACACCGAGAGCCGGUUCCCGGCGACUCUCCCGUGAUCAUAAUGAGACCUAGCCUCAAACAGCAUGUAGGGUUGUUACCGGAUGAUGUUUCCCGGGGCCCGAAGCUGUCUAAAUCCUUGUCUUGUGUUGCGUCUCUCGAUUCCGCUCAACCCCUCUCAAGCUACCACAUAGAUGAGUUGGCCUUGCGACUAAGUCCUGACACUAAGGACAUCUGCCGUGAAAAUUCUAUGACAGUUGGCGCCCACCGUGGGGCUCGACGCACGGUGGUGUUGAGGUCUUGGAGGGAUUUCUUUCAGGGAUCUAGAAGCUCGCGAUUGACCAGGAAAGGAAGAACCAGCAUUGAAAAAAGUAUCAUUGAAGAAAGUAGGGUUUGCUGCUGAGCCGCCGCCUACAACCGCGACAAGAAGGAUUACUGUCAAUAGCCAUGUAUGUCGGCGUCAAGCAAAGAUCCAAUCUACAUCGAAAACAAAAUCGGGUUAAAAGAAAACUCAGUCAAAGCAGAUAUGAUCAAGAAACAGAGCCGGUCACGACCCGGAUUCUUCUUCCCCAAGCGGCCUCGUUUCGAAGUGCCUGUCCCCGCCUUCCGCGGUGCUCCUUCGUCAAACCGUCGUGGGCUUUUUGGUGAUACUGCAACCCAUCCUUCUCCAAACCACGGGCGUGCCUCUGCUACCAGGCGGACCUUGUUGACACGUCGUCGUGCCUACGGUGUUUCCUCUGCUGAGCCGCCCAAAUCGGAUCUUGCUGACCCGCCUUGCCUGCUGCGAACUGUCACCGUCGACCCGUUGGUUCUUGUGGCCCUGCCGCCGGCCGCUGUUAGCGCCUCUGCAACUGUGCCGCCUGACACCUCCGCCUCCACUUGCGAGCCGACCUACCGCGUCAAAUCACCGGGUCGCCUCGGUUGGUUUCCCAUGGGUUGCCGGUCUACCCGAGCCGUUUUCUGUUGCAUUGAAUGGAUCAUCGGUCAUCCGAGCAAAUCAGGUGAUAUCCAUCUAAGCCUAUUCUUUAGCACAUAUUGUUUUUGUCAAAAAACAAUUACUUGGCUCGCGAUGUUUUCUAUGCAGGAUAGUUAUUCACUGCGAGAGCAAUGGUCGUGUCAUGGAUGUAUAGCUCACACUACCAUUAUUGUGCGCCGGCAUCUGACCGUGCCAUAAUACUCGACGAACACUUGCUCGCCCUCGCCGCGUUGGAGCUGUCCUGCCUUGAGCCGCCAUCGGAGAGCCUACCCGCGUUGAGCAGCCGCCGGAGAGCCGCCAUCAUACGAUGGGCUGCAGCCUGCCCUCGGGUCGACUCGCGUCCGCUUCAAAUUGUUUAUCAAAACUGCUAUAUGCACAUCAGGAUGGCUACCGUGAAAGUAACAAAAGGCCAAGGGCUAGCUAAUUGCCGUGUGAUAAUCACGUGGAAGCUUGGCACAAUAUUACAGGAUCCUUGUUCAUCGGACAAAAAAUACCAGGUGAUAUCCAUCUAAGUUUGUUUUAUUAUCACAUAUUUUGUCAAAAGACAGUUUAUCUCUGCCUUGGUCUUCGAUAUUGUUUAUACAGGACAAUUGCCGCACCUUGGGCUACCAGUUGCCAUCUCCACGAUCGCGCAUGGAGCCGCCGAUGCCUUACAGGUGGCGCAAGCCGCCGCCCCUGCGGUCCGGUCUACAUCAACGCGCCAGCCGACUCGCCCAUCCGCGCCGCCUUACAAUCCCAUGGACGACCUGCCCGUCCACCCUCGCGGCCGGCUCACACGUCUGCGACCGGCUUACAAUGUGACGGACAACUUACCCGUCCGCCCCCGCGGCCGACUCGGCGUCCGCGUCGCUUACCGCUCCUGCGAUUGACUCGCCCGACCGCACCGGCUUACAACGCCGCGGCCGGCUCAUCUGUCUACUCCCGCGGCCGACUCGGCCGUGAUUGGUUUCAGCUUCACCGUGAUGAUCAUCAACUCCGCGGUGGAUAAUUCCUGGCCUGACAUAUCAGGUGUAAUCAAUCCAGUAAAUUUUUAUAUAUUAUAUAUUGUUUUCUUUUAAAAAGAGCAAUUACUCUGGCUUGCGAUGUUUUUGAUGUAGGACAAUUGUUCACUACAUCAACACGACGUGGUUGACUCGCCCAUCCGCGCGGCUUACCGCUCUGGCGAUUGACUCGCCCGACCACACCGGUUUACAACACCACGGUCGGCUCAUCUGUCUGUGCCGCCUCUGAUGCAACGGUCGUCUUUACCAUCCGUCUCUCGCGGGUUGGUCUAUAUAAACACACUGGGCCGCACCUGUAUGCAUGAGUUAUUUAUUGAAUAUGAGCGAGUCACUGCUUGGGAAGCCCGGUUUUCUUCCAACAAAUUGGAGGUGAAUUAUCAUGUAUUAUCAGCCGUCGUCUGCACUGGAUGGUUCGAUGGGCAGGCGCACAAGUCGCCGCCACUACAGUUUGGUUAACUUCAAAACAUCCAGUUGGAAGGAACCAUUGGCCGAGUUGCUGACACGGCUCAUACGGGAUCAUUUAUAACCCGCCGCAGUCACUUCAACCUUCUGUGGAUUCACAUCGCGCUAUCAACACCAAUGAUAUACACUUUAUGCUAUGGUCAAUAUGGAGAAUCUCAAAGCCAACUCCUCGAGUCGUCUUGAGACUCGGGGGCUACAAUGAUAUGACUCGGCAGCAUUGGUCGGUUUCAAUGCAUUCAAGAACUCCGGGUCAUUGGAGGGAAAAAUAAUCCAGUCCCGGAGGCUACCGCCAUAUUGGUGAAAAGUUUAAAGGCCGUCAGAAAAUUUCCGGCUUAAAAAGAAGGAUUCCGGUUUAGAUCCGGCUCAAGAGACUUGACAUCUCCCACAAAGCACUGAAGCUCAUAAAUAUCCGGUUUAAAAUCCGGUUCAAGGGAAAUUUAUUUGCCACAAAGUUUUGAAGCUCUCAAAUCCGGUUCAAGGUAAAUUUGUUUAUCACAAAAUUUUGAAACUCUUAAUAUCCGGUUUAAGAAUUUCCGGUUCAAAAAGAAUUUAUCUCUCGCAAAGUUCGAAUUCUCAGGAAAAAUUAAAGGGACCAAAGAGAGUCGGUUACAAAGCACAACUCAAACAUAGGUACCCUGCUUUAAUGGCCAUUGGGAGCUGAUCGUAUUCGAAUUUAGCUUAACCCUUUUGGUGUGACCCUGAUCGUAUUCGAAUCAGAGUCGUUAAAUAUUCUCAUGAUCACUAGGGGGCUUCCUGUUCAAACAUAGGUCGUAUUCGAACCAAAGAGAACAUAGCUGUCGGUACCCUCUUGAUCGGCACACUGCCGAACUCACUAGGGGGCUUCUUGAUCGUAUUCGAAUCAUAGCUCAACCCCUUUUGGGAACCGACGUGGAUCGUAUUCGAAUCAGCGUCGUUAAACAACUCUCAAGGUCAUUUGGGGGCUUCCUGUUCAAACAUAGGUCGUAUUCGAACCAAAGAGAACAUAGUUGUCGGUACCCUCUUGAUCGGCAAUGCCAAAGCCACUGGGGGCUAUAUGAUCAUAUUCGAAUCUUAGCUUAACCCCUUUGGGACGGUUUUCUGAUCGUAUUCGAAUCAGAAGCCUCAAAAAAUUUGAAGUCUCUUUUUGCAAACAAUUUUUGGACUUUAUUUGAAGCUUUUUUGCUCAUAUCUGAAGCAUAUAUAUAUGUGGUUUCUAUUAACCCACCCUGGCUUUCGACGAACAAGUCGCCAGCAUAUGACAAUAUUAAUACUUGGAAGGUUUGGCUUCUAAGGAUUGGGUUAUCACCCUUACUGCACAGGUAUCAUAAGCCGGCAGUACAAUUCAAUAUCACCGGUAUGAUAUUGUUUAUACAUGAUUAUGUUUAAGCCGGCCCUGGAUUUUGACGUUAAGUCGCCAGGGCAUAUGUUGUUUAAACUCUGUGCAGGAUUCGCAGAACUAUGACUUGUAUAAAUGAUUAAGUUCAAGUUCAUCAUCAAAAUUGAUGCUUCAAAAGGGUUAUCCAUUCCGGAUUUUUUUCAAAGGCUAUAAGCCGCUGGGUUAUAAAAAUUCAGGUUUACAAUGGAGGCGUAUUAAAUCGUCAUCGUCCAAGAGCCGCCGGGUAUUUAAACUCCGGGUUUACUUAUCAACAGAUGAGGCUUACGACCCGACACUUGGGGGCUACAUUAUUCAAAGUUGAGAUUACAUCAAAUAUGCAAGUCCCAUGUCACUGCCAGCAUGCACCAUGGCACUUGGGGGCUAAUGCAAAGUCAUUUUUACUGGCCUUAUUGAAGACCCGACUCAUCACAUUGUAAUGAGCCGGCCCUUGGGGGCUACCAAUUGCUCCUGUCAAAAAUUCAAGGUACACAAGCCUUAAUCCAUUAUAUUGAAAGAUCCACUACUCAGUUGGUAGAGUACAAAGCUCUUAACCUUGUGGACGUGGGUUCAAGCCCCAUGGUGGAGAUUACAUCAUAUGCUGUUAUUAUCAAUGAAUCAUAUACAAAGUCCUAGCUCGGUAAUAUCUUACUGACCCGGCCCUUGGGGCCUACACGUUGCUGGUCAAGUUUACAUGAUAAUAUUUACAAAGUCCUUGCUCAUUAUUGCAUAAUGACCCAGCCCUUGGGGGCUACACUGGUUCAAGUUUUUAUGAGCAUAAGGCAAUUACAAGUCCCAGGUUGCUGCAAGCAUGACAACCCGGCACUUGGGGGCUACAUAUGUGGAAUAUUCAGUUUAUGACUAAUGAUUGAGAUGAAUAACCCGGUUUUCUUCAAGGUUGCAAUACUUAUAUUGAAGCAAGUCUUAAGUUAUCACUAUGUUCUCCUCUUAAGACUUGGGGGCUACAGGUGAUAUGCAUAUAAGGGAGAAAAAAUCUUCAAAUUCUCAGUUUGGAGCAGACCAGAUUGACCCGGUGUUUGCAACAAGCAUGACCCGGUGUCACCAAUAAUAAUGACCCGGCGUCGGCAACAGUUAUGACCCGGUGUUAUCAAUAUUUACAAGACGGUAAUUUUGGCAAUUAUAACUAGCCAGCCUCUACAUCUUUAAACUGGCGGAUCACCAGAUGAAUCUUGAGCCGGAGUUUUGGAAACCGACUCAAAUGGAUUAUUUCGUAUAAUAUUUCUUUAUAAGAGCCAAUGUCAGCAAAUGGAUUAUGAAGCUGGACUAUUGACCCGGAUAUUCCAAGAGAAAAUGUCAAGGACUUAAGAAUGAUCAGGUGCCGGCUUACAAGAAUAUUUAACCCGGAGCACAACCUGUCAAAGUUGUUCUUGUGUUUAUGUUGCAGGAUCAGUUUAAAUAUGGAUAAAUCCAAAUUAAACUGGGGGCUAAUGUUGGGGAUAUACCCCGCGGUAUGACCCGGCCGAAAGUAUGACCCGGCCGGACUUGGCAUUUCACCGAUGACCCGGCCGGACUCAUGGGUCUGGUGGCUCAUUGGUCAAACAGCUCAUGGACCAGACAACUCACUGGAGACCCGGCGGGCGGAUCAGACGGACGCCACGGCCCAAGGCCCAACAGGCUGGCUUAUACUCCGGUGGGCCGGCUUAAGAUGAAAGGUGUGAGGAUUAUUUCCUUUACAAGGAAGCAAGACCUGGACUUGUAUUCAACUUAUAAAGAAAGGUAGAAUAGUGCUAAUUCUACUAGGACUCCGCAUGUAACCCGCCCCUCUAACUUAUAUAAGGAGGGGCAGGGCACCCCAAAGAGGGACAAGUAACAAGAAACAAUCUCUAGGGCUAGACACCGAGAGCCGGUUCCCGGCGACUCUCCCGUGAUCAUAAUGAGACCUAGCCUCAAACAACAUGUAGGGUUGUUACCGGAUGAUGUUUCCCGGGGCCCGAAGCUGUCUAAAUCCUUGUCUUGUGUUGCGUCUCUCGAUUCCGCUCAACCCCUCUCAAGCUACCACAUAGAUGCGUUGGCCUCGCGACUAAGUCCUGACACUAAGGACAUCUGCCGUGACAAUUCCGCGACACCGGGGGCUGCUGUCCGGGCUGCUCAACACCACCAGUGGCGCCCGUGAAGUACCAGCCGGGGGCUGGCCACCCGCUGAGACCUUGGCCCUCUUCACUCUCUGGGCCAGCGUCUCCACGUCCCUGCAAAGACGAAGACAAGUCAAGACAAGUGAGACAGAUUGAGGGAGGCAGAGAUAACGGGAAAAAGCCAGAUACUUACUCGUCGUCCGCCUCCUCCUCUGCUGUUUUCCUCUUCCUCCUCGGGCUGAGGGAUCCGUAGUCGAAGAUGACCCCCGCGUCGGCGUCGGCCGAAGGAGGGGAGGAGGGCGGAGUUUGCGCGUGCUUGGACGAAGAGGAAGCAGAUGCCUUCUUCUUCGCCACCGCGGCUUUCACCACCUUCUUCGCCGCCGCGGCCCUCGUCUGACGUGCGGACUCCUCCGGGGACCUUGGCCGCCGCGCAGCCUUGACAGGCCGUACCGGCUCGCCGGAAGUGGCCCGGCGCAGGACUCGCCCUCUCCCCGUGGCCGGAGGGUCAACAGCCCUGGCCUCCUCCGACACGACGACUCGUCGGCCGCAUCUUCAACAAGAAGGGCCCUGGUGUCGGCGUUGCUGGCCCCCCGGCGGCCGCCGCCCAUCGGGCGAGCUCCUCCUCCUCCGCGACUGUCGCGGCCUUGUCCUCCACACCACCGGCGCUGCUGGCCUCCUUGGCAAGUUGUGCCUCCCUCGCCCUGGUGGCCAUGUAGUCCAGUUCCGCCUGGGUGGUGUCCUGGACAAGCAGCCGCUCGGCAUCGGCGUUGACGUACCCCUCGUGCAGAGUAUCAAAGAACUGCUGCACCUCGACGUCCUCCGGCUCCUUCCAGCUCGGGCCAGGGCCAUGCGCAUUGCAGUCCGGCAUCAUGGCGAUGAUCUCGGUCCGAUGGGAAUUAUUGCACAACGGGACCACUCCCACCGGCAGCUUGAACAAGGGCCCCUUGAAGACCUUGCCGGCCUUCGCGGUGGCCCUCGCGACCUUGCUGGUCCGCUCGACCUCGCCGUCGUGGCCCACAUCGAGCUGGAAGAGCCGCUGGCAGAAAUGGGCGUGCCCCAUCACUGUGAAGUUGUGGUCGAGGCAGGGGCAAAGCCGCAUGAUGUCGGCGGGGUUCGUGAAGAGCCAGGCCGGCCUCCCCUUGUUGUGAAGUGGAGCGAUUCGGCGGCGGAUGAAGUCCGCCCCGAUCAUCUCAAGGGUGAGCCCGGCCUCGGUGAGCCGAAGGAUCCUGGUGGUGGCGACCGCGAGCUUCUCGUCGUCGGCGUCGACGUCACUCUAGUCGCUUCUGCGGACCGCCGGCGCCCGGCGAACUUCGCAGAACGUCGGCGGGUCCUUCUCCUCGAUCCAGCACCACCGGCCCCACCAUUCUUCCCACCUCUCCUUCAUGGCGCCAUCCGGGUAUGCUCCCUUGGACCUUGGGAUCCAGGUGAUGCAACCGGAAAUGGUGCCUCCCGUCUGGAUCCGAGGGAAGAAGUAAUGGCGGAAGAGCGCCGUGUUGGGGUGCACCCAGGCGAAACCGUCGCAGAGGUGCGCAAAAAGGUCCAUGCACGCCACCGCAUUCGGGGUAAAAUCCAAGAGGCGAAAGCCAAAGGUGUGCAUGAUGUCGCUGAAGAAAUCGGAGAAGGGGGGAAAAAGCCCGCAGGAAAAAUAGUCGUCAAAGAAGGGGUACCGAUUUGGGGCAGCCCCGGCGCAGUUGGCGGGGAUGACGCGCGUGGCUGGAUGCCCCGACCUCUCUCCCCCUGUCUUCACCCCCCACAAGGGCCUGAAGGAGUCCCGAAGCUCGAACACGUUGACUGUCGAGGGGAAGAAGGCGGACUGCGUCCGUUGCACCGCCAGCGCACUCUCCAGCGGCUCCGCCGCUCCGCCGUUCUUACCCACGCCCUUGCCCUUGAUGCAUUUCGGUGCCAUGGCGGCUGGCAGAGAAGGGCGAGGCAGAGGGCGGCAGGAACGCAACGGCGGUGAACGAGAGCGAAGCUUGGGGAAGAAGAGGAAGGCAAGCGGAGGCUUUCGAGAUUGGGAUUGCGCGAAGGGUAAAAGGAAUAGUGCGCUCGCGGUUAUCCCUUUUUAUGGGGAAGCCGCGGGUCGCGCUGCCCAUUUACUGCGAUGUGACGCAUGCGUGCGGGAACCGCCCCACGCAUGCCGCCCACGUCACGCGCACCCCUCCACGCCGCGCGCGGGUCGUGGGAAGCGAAGCGCGUGAAAAGUUUUACCGCGGUAAAAGCCAUCCCGCCUGCCCGCGCACCGUUUUGGGCCUGGCCCAACAACGCGUCGCGCUCAUGUGUGGCCUAGGCCCGGGGGCUCAUGUCGGUGUACAAAAGAGGGGGCGCACCUUUGUACCCCUUUAACUGCGCACGGACAGUCGGAGCCGCGUCCAUGGCCACACCAAGCAGAGCAGGGGAGGUGAACCGAGGUAAAACCAAAGCCCGAGGCAACCAGAGCAACGCCAAGGCCAAGACCACAAAGAGCAGAGGGACGAAGCAGGUUCCCCCGGCAAGGCCCUUGCCGGGGGAGCAUCAGCAGCCCCGGCAAGACCCUUGCCGGGGCAGCUCGCCCCACACCAACAGAGCGAGCCACCCUUGAGCCCACGGUCUCCGACAUCACGUUGGGCCAGGGCUCGGGAGGCACCUCCAUGGUGGCAUGCAGAUCUUUCUGAAGAAAAGGAACACUCAAGAUCAUAUGAGGAUAAGAAGACAGCGAUCCUCGGCAAGAUCCUUGUCGAGGGAAACCACAAGACCCCCGGCAAGAUCCUUGCCGAGGACGACAGCGCGCCACGGCAAGACCCUUGUCGGGCCACCCGGCAAGGCCCUCACCGAGGACGCCAGCAGGGCCACUGCCAGGCCCGCACCAACCAAGUCUCCGCCGCCAUUCGCAUGCAGGUGCCAGCCCAAACCAGCUGGGCAGGAACCUGCGUGGCAACAUGCAGCUUCCAGGCCAACUCAGCAGGAGCCUGCGUGGCGGCAUGCAGAUCUUCGUCAAGACCCUACCACCGCGCCACCUCAGCUGCCUGCCUGCCUACAUGGCACCGCAUGCAUCGCUGGCCAGGGCGCGUGUCAAAGCUUUGGGUUCAAUCCGACAGUGUCCUUUCCCGGUGACAGUAGGGGCAGCAAGGCACGUAUUGUAUUGUUUCCAUCGAGGAUAAAGAUGGAGUUUUUAUCAUAUUGCAUGAGUUUAUCCCUCUACAUCAUGUCAUCUUACUUAAAGCAUUACUCUGUUCUUAUGAACUUAAUACUCUAGAUGCAUGCUGGAUAGCGGUCGAUGUGUGGAUUAAUAGUAGUAGAUGCAGAAUCGUUUCGGUCUACUUGUCGCGGACGUGAUCUCUAUAUACAUGAUCAUACCUAGACAUUCUCAUAACUAUGCUCAAUUCUAUCAAUUGCUCGACAGUAAUUCGUUUACCCAUCGUAAUACUUAUGCUCUUGAGAGAAGCCACUAGUGAAACCUAUGGCCCCGGGUCUAUUUUCCAUCAUAUUAAUCUUCCAACACUUAGUUAUUUCUAUUGCCGUUUAUUUUACUUUGCAUCUUUAUUACUCUUUAUUAUAAAAAUACCAAAAAUAUUAUCUUAUCAUAUCUAUCUGAUCUCACUCUCGUAAGUGAUCGUGAAGGGAUUGACAACCCCUUUAUUGCGUUGGUUGAGAGGUUCUUGUUUGUUUGUGUAGGUGCGUGGGACUCGAACGUGAUCUCCUACUGGAUUGAUACCUUGGUUCUCAAAAACUGAGGGAAAUACUUACGCUACUUUACUGCAUCACCCUUUCCUCUUCAAGGGAAAACAAACGCAGUGCUCAAGAGGUACCAAGAAGGAUUUCUGGCGCCGUUGCCAGGGAGAUUUGUGCCAAGUCAAGUCAAGAUUUGAUUUCCCGUCAACAAGUCAUUUCUGGCACCGUUGCCGGAUCUACGCACAAGUCAAGACAUACCAAGUACCCAUCACAAACUCAUCUCCCCCGCAUUACAUUAUUUGCCAUUUGCCUCUUGUUUUCCUCUCCCCCACUUCACCCUUGCCGUUUUAUUCGCCUCCUCUCUUUUCCGUUCGCCUCUUUUUCGCUUGUUUCUUGGUUGCUCGUGUGUUGGAUUGCUUUCUUGUCAUGAUGGCUCAAGAUAAUACUAAAUUAUGUGACUUUACCAAUACCAACAACAAUGAUUUUCUUAGCACUCCGCUUACCGAUGCUGAAUCUUGUGAAAUUAAUGCUGCUUUGUUGAACCUUGUCAUGAAAAAUCAAUUCGCCGGCCUUCCUAGUGAAGAUGCCGCUACCCAUAUAAAUAGCUUUGUUGAUUUGUGUGAUAUGCAAAAGAAGAAAAUAUGUGGACAAUGAUAUUGUUAAAUUGAAGCUAUUUCCUUUUUCGCUUAGAGAUCGUGCUAAAGCUUGGUUUUCUUCUUUGCCUAAAAAUAGUAUUGAUUCUUGGAAUAAGUGCAAAGAUGCUUUUAUCUCUAGGUAUUUUCCUCCCGCUAAAAUCAUCUCUCUUAGAAACGAUAUUAUGAAUUUUAAGCAACUUGAUCAUGAACAUGUUGCACAAGCUUGGGAGAGAAUGAAAUUAAUGAUACGUAAUUGCCCUACACAUGGUUUGAAUCUUUGGAUGAUUAUACAAAAAAUAUAUGCCGGAUUGAAUUUUGCUUCUAGAAAUCUUUUAGAUUCGGCCGCGGGAGGCACUUUUAUGGAAAUCACUUUAGGAGAAGCUACCAAACUCCUAGAUAAUAUUAUGGUUAAUUACGCUCAAUUGGCACAUCGAAAGAUCCACUAAUAAAAAAGUGCAUGCGAUAGAAGAAAUUAAUGUUUUGAGCGGAAAGAUGGAUGAACUUAUGAAAUUAUUUGCUAAUAAGAGUGUUUCUUCUGAUCCUAAUGAUAUGCCUUUGUCUACUUUGAUUGAGAAUAAUAAUGAAUCUAUGGAUGUGAAUUUUGUUGGUAGGAAUAAUUGUGGUAACAACGUGUAUAGAGGAAACUUUAAUCCUAGGCCGUUCCCUAGUAAUUCCUCUAAUAAUUGUGGUAAUUCCUACAACAAUUCUUAUGGAAAUUUUAAUAAGAUGUCCUCUGAAUUUGAGACUAGUGUUAAGGAGUUUAUGAAUUUUUCGCAAACGAAUUUCAAUGCUUUGCUUGAAGAAAAAUUGCUUAAGGUUGAUGAAUUGGCUAGGAACGUUGAUAGAAUUUCUCUUGAUUUUGAUUCUUUGAAACUUAGAUAUAUUCCACCUAAGCAUGAUAUCAAUGAGUCUCUCAAAGCCAUGAGAAUUUCCAUUGAUUCGUGCAAAGAAAGAACUGCUAGGAUGCGUGCUAAGAAAUAUUGCUUUGUGAAAGCGUGUUCUAUCAAUUGCUCGACAGUAAUUCAUUUACCCACCGUAAUACUUAUGCUCUUGAGAGAAGCCACUAGUGAAACCUAUGGCCCCCGGGUCUAUUUUCCAUCAUAUUAAUCUUCCAACACUUAGUUAUUUCUAUUGCCAUUUAUUUUACUUUGCAUCUUUAUUACUCUUUAUUAUAAAAAUACCAAAAAUAUUAUCUUAUCAUAUCUAUCAGAUCUCACUCUCGUAAGUGACCGUGAAGGGAUUGACAACCCCUUUAUUGCGUUGGUUGCGAGGUUCUUGUUUGUUUAUGUAGGUGCGUGGGACUCGAACGUGAUCUCCUACUGGAUUGAUACCUUGGUUCUCAAAAACUGAGGGAAAUACUUAUGCUACUUUACUACAUCACCCUUUCCUCUUCAAGGGAAAACCAACGCAGUGCUCAAGAGGUAGCAGGUUGCUGCACAUCCGCGAUGUUGAGGGACCAAGGAGGACCGUAAGCGUGGAGACAAGGCUCGAGGCAAUGGAGCAACAAAUUUUCAAGUGCCAAGAGAUGGUGGAACGUGGACUCGACGCCAAUCACAUAAUGAUCACGGAGUUCACCAACAACCACAAGCUGGACACCAAGAACAUUGGGGAGGCCAUCUUCAAACUUCACGAGAAAAUCGAGCACCUCCAAGCCCAAAUCUAUGACCUGCAAAACCAAAACUGUGAGUAUGAAUAUAGAUUCAAGAGGAUGAGUUUAGCUGCAGAUUUGAGGAUCCUAGAGACUCGAUCAUCCUUCUAUGAUGGUGAGCCUAUGCCUUGGAAGAUGGACAACAAGCCUACAUCAUCAACAACUCCAUCAUCACCACCUCCGAGGAAAGAGAUAUAAUCAUAUGGGUAUGAGCACUCCCCUUGGAAACUGCCAAGCUUGGGGGAGGUGCCCCGGUAUUGUAUCACCAUCACACUCCUAUCUUUACCGUUUUUCUUAGUUUGAUCCUUUUGGUAAUAUCUUUAUCUAGUAGAAUAAAGUUUUGGUAUGAUCUGGUUUUGAGUUUUGCUUUGUGAUCCUUCUAUGUAAUCGAGUCCGUGAGCUAUAUAUAUAAUAAAGAUUAGUGUUGAGUCAAGGGUUUGAUUAUCUUGCUAUGAUCUUGAGGGAAUAAAAGAAAAAUAAAGAACAAAAAGAAAUAAAGAGAUCAUAUUGAUCUUAUGGAGAGUAAUGACUUCACAUAUAAAGAGUAUGAUGAAUAAAAGUUGUUGAGAGUUGACAAACAUAGUUUUGGUCAUGGUUGCAAUUAAUAUGAAGUAAUAAAGAAAGAGAGGGUUUCACAUAUAAAUAUACUAUCUUGGACAUCUUUUAUGAUUGUGAGCACUCAUUAAAAUAUGACAUGCUAAAGAGUUGAUGUUGGACAAGAAAGACAACGUAAUGGGUUAUGUUUUCUUAUAUCCAAAAUAAAGUAUAUUGUCAUGGAUCAUCCAACAUGUUGAGCUUGCCUUUCUCCCUCAUGCUAGCCGAACUCUUUGCACCAAGUACAGAUACUACUUGUGCUUCCAAAUAUCCUUAAACCCAAUUUUGCCAUGAGAGUCCACCAUAUCUACCUAUGAAUUGAGUAAGAUCCUUCAAGUAAGUUGUCAUUGUUGCAUGCAAUAAAAAUUGCUCUCUAAAUAUGUAUGAUUUAUUAGUGUGGAGAAAAUAAGCUUUAUACGAUCUUGUGAUGUGGAAGAAAUAAAACCGACAGAUUGCAUAAUAAAGCACAUGACAACCUCUGCUUCCAACCAUAUAAAGUGACGUUCUUUCGCAUUAAGAUUUUGUGCAUCCAACCAUAAAAGCACAUGACAACCUCUGCUUCCCUCUGCGAAGGGCCUAUCUUUUAUUCUUGUCUUAUACCUUAUGCAAGAGUCAUGGUGAUCUUCACCUUUCCUUUUUACAUUUUAUUCUUUGUCAAGCACAUUGUGUUGGAAAGAUCCUGAUAUAUAUAUAUCAUCAUGAACUAUUAUUGUUGACAUUACCCUUGAGGUAAAAGGUUGGGAGGCAACACUAUAAGCCCCUAUCUUUCUCUGUGUCCGAUUAAAACUCCAAACCCAUAAGUAUUGCGUGAGUGUUAGCAAUUGUGAAAGACUAAAUGAUAGUUGAGUAUGUGGACUUGCUGAAAAGCUCUUACAUAGACUCUUUUCGAUGUUAUGAUAAAUUGCAAUUGCUUCAAUGACCGAGAUUAUGGUUUGUUAGUUCCCAAUGAAGUUUCUGAUUCAUACUUGACAUUGUGAAUAGAUUGUUACUUUAGCAUAAGAAAUCAUAUGACAAUAUAUAUUUAUGUUGCUGUUAUAAGAAUGAUCAUGAUGCCCUCAUGUCCGUAUUUCAUUUUAUCGACACCUCUAUCUCUAAACAUGUGGACAUAUUUAUCGUUAUCGGCUUCCGCUUGAGGACAAGCGAGGUCUAAGCUUGGGGGAGUUGAUACGUCCAUUUUGCAUCAUGCUUUUAUAUUGAUAUUUAUUGCAUUAUGGACUGUUAUUACACAUUAUGUUACCAUACUUAUGCCUAUUCUCUCUUAUUUUAUAAGGUUUACAAGAAGAGGGAGAAUGCCGGCAGCUGGAAUUCUGGGCUGGAAAUAUUAGAGACCUAUUCUGCACAACUCCAAAAGUCCUGAAACUCCAUGGAAGUUAUUUUUGGAAUUAAUAAAAAAUACUAAGCGGAGAAAGUACCAGAGGGGGGCCACCCACCAAACACGAGGGUGGGGGCGCGCCCUACCCCCUGGGCGCGCCCUCCUGCCUCGUGGGCCCCCUGGGAGGCUUCCGGUGUCCAUCUUCUGCUAUAUGAAGUCUUUUACCCUAGAAAAAAUCAUAAGCAAGCUUUCGGGAAGAAACACCGCCGCCACGAGGCGGAACCUUGGCGGAACUAAUCUAGAGCUCCGGCGGAGCUGUUCUGCCGGGGAAACAUCCCUCCGGGAGGGGGAAAUCAUCGCCAUCGUCAUCACCAUCGAUCCUCUCAUCGGGAGGGGUCAAUCUCCAUCAACAUCUUCACCAACACCAUCUCCUCUCAAAUCCUAGUUCAUCUCUUGUAUCCAAUCUUUGUAUCAAACCCUCAGAUUGGUACCUGUGGGUUGUUAGUAGUGUUGAUUACUCCUUGUAGUUGAUGCUAGUUGGUUUAUUUGGUGGAAGAUCAUAUGUUCAGCUCCUUUAUGCAUAUUAAUACCCCUAUGAUUAUGAACAUGAAUAUGAUUUGUGAGUAGUUACGUUUGUUCCUAAGGACAUGGGAGAAGACUUGCUAUAAGUAGUCAUGUGAAUUUGGUAUUCGUUCGAUAUUUUGAUGACAUGUAUGUUGUCUUUCCUCUAGUGGUGUUAUGUGAACGUCGACUACAUGACACUUCACCAUUGUUUGGGCCUAGAGGAAGGCAUUGGGAAGUAAUAAGUAGAUGAUGGGUUGCUAGAGUGACAGAAGCUUAAACCCUAGUUUAUGCGUUGCUUCGUAAGGGGCUGAUUUGGAUCCAUAUGUUUCAUGCUAUGGUUAGGUUUACCUUAACACUUCUUUUAUAGUUGCGGAUGCUUGUGAUACGUCUCCAACGUAUCUAUAAUUUUUGAUUGCUUCAUGCUAUAUUAUAUUCUAUUUUGGACAUUAUUGGGCUUUAUUAUACACUUUUAUAUUAUUUUUGGGACUAACCUAUUAACCGGAGGCCCAGCCCAGAAUUGCUCUUUUUUUGCCUAUUUCAGAGUUUUGCAGAAAAAGAAUAUCAAACAGAGUCCAAACGGAAUGAAACCUUCGGGAACGUGAUUUUCGGAACGAACGUGAUCCAGAUGACUUGGACCCUACGUCAAGACAUCAACCAGGAGGGCACGAGGUAGGGGGCGCGCCCUCCACCCUCGUGGGCCCCACGUUGCUCCACCGACGUACUUCUUCCUCCUAUAUAUACCUACGUACCCCCAAACUACCAGAUACGGAGCCAAAACCUAAUUCCACCGCCGCAACCUUCUAUACACGUGAGAUCCCAUCUUGGGGCCUUUUCCUGAGCUCCGCCGGAGGGGGCAUCAAUCACGGAGGGCUUCUACAUCAACACCAUAGCCUCUCCGAUGAUGUGUGAGUAGUUUACCUCAGACCUUCGGGUCCAUAGUUAUUAGCUAGAUGGCUUCUUCUCUCUUUUUGGAUCUCAAUACAAUGUUCUCCCCCUCUCUUGUGGAGAUCUAUUCGAUGUAAUCUUCUUUUGCGGUGUGUUUGUUGAGACCGAUGAAUUGUGGGUUUAUGAUCAAGUUUAUCUAUGAACAAUAUUUGAAUCAUCUCUGAAUUCUUUUAUGUAUGAUUGGUUAUCUUUGCAAGUCUCUUCGAAUUAUCAGUUUGGUUUGGCCUACUAGAUUGAUCUUUCUUGCAAUGGGAGAAGUGCUUAGCUUUGGGUUCAAUCUUGCGGUGUCCUUUCCUAGUGACAGUAGGGGCAGCAAGGCACGUAUUGUAUUGUUUCCAUCAAGGAUAACAAGAUGGGGUUUAUAUCAUAUUACAUGAAUUUAUCCCUCUACAUCAUGUCAUCUUGCUUAAAGCGUUACUCUGUUCUUAUGAACUUAAUACUCUAGAUGCAUGCUGGAUAGCGGUCGAUGUGUGGAGUAAUAGUAGUAGAUGCAGGCAGGAGUCGGUCUACUUGCCUCGGACGUGAUGCCUAUAUACAUGAUCAUACCUAGAUAUUCUCAUAACUAUGCUCAAUUCUGUCAAUUGCUCAACAGUAGUUUGUUCACCCACCGUAAUACUUAUGCUCUCAAGAGAAGCCACUAGUGAAACCUAUGGCCCCCGGGUCUAUUUUCUAUCAUAUUAAUCUCCCAUCAACAAGCUAUUUCUUUUGCCGUUUAUUUUGCUUUCUUUACUUUGCAUCUUUAUCAUAAAAAAUACCAAAUAUAUUAUCUUACAUAUCUAUCAGAUCUCACUCUCGUAAGUGACCGUGAAGGAAUUGACAACCCCUUUAUUGUGUUGGUUGCGAUGAUUUAUUUGUUUGUGUAGGUGCGAGGGACUCGUGCGUUGCCUCCUACUGGAUUGAUACCUUGGUUCUCAAAAACUGAGGAAAAUACUUACGCUACUUUGCUGCAUCACCCUUUCCUCUUCAAGGGAAAACCAAUGCUGUGCUCAAGAGGUAGCAAGAAGGAUUUCUGGCGCCGUUGCCGGGGAGUCUACGCAAAAGUCAACAUACCAAGUACCCAUCACAAACCCUUAUCUCCCGCAUUACAUUAUUUGCCAUUUGCCUCUCGUUUUCCUCUCCCCCACUUCACCCUUGCCGUUUUAUUCGCCCUCUCUUUCCCGUUCGCCUCUUUUUCGCUCGCUUCUUGUUUGCUCGUGUGUUGGAUUGCUUGCUUGUCACGAUGGCUCAAGAUAGUACUAAAUUAUGUGACUUUACCAAUACCAACAACAAUGAUUUCCUUAGCACUCCGAUUGCUCCUCUUACUGAUACUGAAUCUUGUGAAAUUAAUGCUGCUUUGUUGAAUCUUGUCAUGAAAGAUCAAUUCGCCGGCCUUCCUAGUGAAGAUGCCGCUACCCAUCUAAAUAGCUUCGUUGAUUUAUGUGAUAUGCAAAAGAAGAAAGAUGUGGAUAAUGAUAUUGUUAAAUUGAAACUAUUUCCUUUUUCCCUUAGAGAUCGUGCUAAAGCUUGGUUUUCGUAUUUGCCUAAAAAUAGUAUUGAUUCUUGGAAUAAAUGCAAAGAUGCUUUUAUCUCUAAGUAUUUCCUCCUGCUAAGAUCGUCUCUCUUAGAAAUGAUAUCAUGAAUUUUAAGCAACUUGAUCAUGAACAUGUUGCACAAGCUUGGGAGAGGAUGAAAUUAAUGAUACGUAAUUGCCCCACUCAUGGUUUGAAUUUGUGGAUGAUUAUACAAAAUUUUAUGCCGGAUUGAAUUUUGCUUCUAGAAAUCUUUUAGAUUCGGCCGCGGGAGGCACUUUUAUGGAAAUCACUUUAGGAGAAGCUACUAAACUCCUAGAUAAUAUUAUGGUUAAUUAUUCUCAAUUUCACACUGAAAGAUCUACUAAUAAGAAAGUGCAUGCGAUAGAAGAAAUUAAUGUUUUGAGUGGAAAGAUGGAUGAACUUAUGAAAUUAUUUGCUAAUAAAAGUGUUUCUUCUGAUCCUAAUGAUAUGCCUUUGUCUACUUUGAUUGAUAAUAAUAAUGAAUCUAUGGAUGUGAAUUUUGUUGGUAGGAAUAAUUUUGGUAACAACGCGUAUAGAGGAAACUUUAAUCCUAGGUCGUAUCCUAGUAAUUCCUCUAAUAAUUAUGGUAAUUCCUACAACAAUUCUUAUGGAAAUUUUAAUAAGAUGCCCUCUGAAUUUGAGACUAGUGUUAAGGAGUUUAUGAAUUCGCAAAAGAAUUUCAAUGCUUUGCUUGAAGAAAAAUUGCUGAAAGUUGAUGAAUUGGCUAGGAACGUUGAUAGAAUUUCUCUUGAUGUUGAUUCUUUGAAACUUAGAUCUAUUCCUCUUAAGCAUGAUAUCAAUGAGUCUCUCAAAGCCCUGAGAAUUUCCAUUAAUGAGUGCAAAGAAAGAACCGCUAGGAUGCGUGCUAAGAAAGAUUGUUUUGUGAAAGCGUGUUCUUCUAGUUUCUAUGAAAAUAAAGAUGAAGAUCUAAAAGUUAUUGAUGUGUCCCCUAUUAAAUCUUUGUUUUGCAAUAUGAAUCUUGAUAAUGAUGGGACAGAAUAUGAUCCACCUCUACCUAGAAGGCGUUCCAAAAAUUCGGAGUUUUUAGAUCUUGACGCUAAAAUUGAUAAAAGUGGGAUUGAAGAGAUCAAAACUUUAGAUAUUAAUGAACCCACUAUUUUGGAUUUCAACGAAUUUAAUUAUGAUAAUUGCUCUUUGAUAGAUUGUAUUUCCUUGUUGCAAUCCGUGCUAAAUUCUCCACAUGCUUAUACUCAACAUAAAGCUUUUACUAAACAUAUAGUUGAUGCUUUAAUGCAAUCUUAUGAAGAAAAACUUGAGUUGGAAGUUUCUAUCCCUAGAAAACUUUAUGAUGAGUGGGAACCUACUAUUAAAAUUAAAAUUAAAGAUCAUGAAUGCUAUGCUUUGUGUGAUUUGGGUGCUAGUGUUUCCACGAUUCCAAAAACUUUGUGUGAUUUGUUAGGUUUCCGUGAUUUUGAUGAUUGCUCUCUAAACUUGCACCUUGCGGAUUCCACCAUCAAGAAACCUAUGGGAAGAAUUAAUGAUGUUCUUAUUGUUGCAAAUAGGAAUUAUGUGCCCGUAGAUUUUAUUGUUCUUGAUAUAGAUUGCAAUCCUUCAUGUCCUAUUAUUCUUGGUAGACCUUUCCUUAGAACGAUUGGUGCAAUUAUUGAUAUGAAGGAAGGGAAUAUUAGAUUCCAAUUUACGUUAAGGAAAGGCAUGGAACACUUCCCUAGAAAGAAAAUUAAAUUACCAUAUGAAUCUAUUAUGAGAGCCACUUAUGGAUUGCCUUCCAAAGACGGCAAUACCUAGAUCUAUCCUUGCUUUUAUGCCUAGCUAGGGGCGUUAAACGAUAGCGCUUGUUGGGAGGCAACCCAAUUUUAUUUUUAGUUUUUUGCUUUUUGCUUCUGUUUAGGAAUAAAUAUUUGAUCUAGCCUCUGGUUAGAUGUGUUUUUAUGUUUUAAUUAUUGUUUGUGCCAAGUUAAACCUAUAGGAUCUUCUUGGAUGAUAGUUAUUUGAUCUUGCAGAAAAUUCCAGAAACUUUCUGUUCACGAAAAUAAUUGUUAAAAAUCACCAGAACGUGAUAAAAUAUUGAUUCCAUUUGCUUCUAAUCAAUAAACAAAUUAUCUAGUUCGUCCUAUUUUGGCUGAAUUUUUGGAGUUCCAUAAGUUUGCGUUAUUUACAUAUUACUACAGACUGUUCUGUUUUUGACAGAUUCUGUUUUUGGUGUGUUGUUUGCUUAUUUUGAUGAAUCUAUGGCUUGUAAAAUAGUUUAUAAACCAUAGAGAAGUUGGAAUAAAGUAGGUUUAACACCAAUGUAAAUAAAGAAUGAGUUCAUUACAGUACCUUGAAGUGGUGUUUUGUUUUCUUUCGCUAACAGAGCUCAUGAGAUUUUCUGUCAAGUUUUGUGUUGUGAAGUUUUCAAGUUUUGGGUGAAAGAUUUGAUGGAUUAUGGAAUAAGGAGUGACAAGAGCCUAACCUUGGGGAUGCCCAUGGCACCCCAACAUAAUCUAAGGACACCUAAAAGCCAAAGCUUGGGGAUGCCCCGGAAGGCAUCCCCUCUUUCGUCUACUUCCAUCGGUAACUUUACUUGGAGCUAUAUUUUUAUUCACCACAUGAUAUGUGUUUUGCUUGGAGCGUCUUGUAUGAUUUGAGUCUUUGUUUGUUAGUUCACCACAAUCAUCCUUGCUGUACGCACCUUUUAAGAGAGACACGCAUGAUUCGGAAAUUGUUAGAAUACUCUAUGUGCUUCACUUAUAUCUUUUGAGUCAUAUAGUUUUGCUCUAGUACUUCACUUAUAUCUUUUAGAGCACGGUGGUGGUUUUGUUUUAUAGAAACUUUUGUUCUCUCAUGCUUCAUUUAUAUUAUUUUGAGAGUCCUACAAAACACAUGGUAAUUUGCUUUAAUUAUAAUAGGCAUCCAAUUAAAAAAAUUCUUAUGAGUGUGUUGAAUACUAUGAGAAGUUUGAUACUUGAUGAUUGUUUUGAGAUAUGAAGAUGGUGAUAUUAGAGUCAUGCUAGUUGAGUAGUUUUGAAUUUGAGAAAUACUUGUGUUAAAGUUUGUGAUUCCUGUAGCAUGCACGUAUGGUGAACCGUUAUGUGAUGAAGUCGGAGCAUGAUUUAUUUAUUGAUUGUCUUUCUUAUGAGUGGCGGUCGGGGACGAGCGAUGGUCUUUUCCUACCAAUCUAUCCCCCUAGGAGCAUGCGCGUAAUACUUCGUUUCGAUAACUAAUAGAUUUUUGCAACAAGUAUAUGAGUUCUUUAUGACUAAUGUUGAGUUCAUGGAUUAUACGCACUUUUCUUCCUUCCACCAUUGCCAGCCUCUCUAAUACCGCACACUUUUCGCCGGUAUCAUACACCCACGAUAUACCUUCCUCAAAACAGCUACCAACCUACCUAUCAUGGCAUUUCCAUAGCCAUUCCGAGAUAUAUUGCCAUGCAACUUACCACCGUUCCCUUUACUAUGACACGCUCCAUCAUUGUCAUAUUGCUUUGCAUGAUCAUGUGGUUGACAUCGUAUUUGUGGCAAAGCCACCGUUCAUAAUUCUUUCAUACAUGUCACUCUUGAUUCAUUGCAUAUCCCGGUACACCGCCAGAGGCAUCCACAUAGAGUCAUAUUUUGUUCUAAGUAUUGAGUUGUAAUUCAUGAGUUGUAAGUAAAUAAAAGUGUGAUGAUCAUCAUUAUUAGAACAUUGUCCCAAGUGAGGAAAGGAUGGUGGAGACUAUGAUUCCCCCACAAGUCGGGAUGAGACUCCGGACUAAAUAAAAAAAAGAGGCCAUAAAAAGAAAGAGAAAAGGCCCCAAAAAAUGAGAGAAAAAGAGAGAAGGGACAAUGUUACUAUCCUUUUACCACACUUGUGCUUCAAAGUAGCACCAUGAUCUUCAUGAUAGAGAGUCUUCUAUGAUAUCACUUUCAUAUACUAGUGGGAAUUUUUCAUUAUAGAACUUGGCUUGUAUAUUCCAAUGAUGGGCUUCCUCAAAAUGCCCUAGGUCUUCGUGAGCAAGCGAUUUGGAUGCACACCCACUUAGUUUCUUUUGUUGAGCUUUCAUACACUUAUAGCUCUAGUGCAUCCGUUGCAUGGCAAUCCCUACUCACUCACAUUGAUAUCUAUUAAUGGGCAUCUCCAUAGCCCAUUGAUACGCCUAGUUGAUGUGAGACUAUCUUCUCCUUUUUUGUCUUCUCCACAACCACCAUUCUAUUCCACAUAUAGUGCUAUAUCCAUGGCUCACGCUCAUGUAUUGUGUGAAGAUUGAAAAAGUUUGAGAACAUCAAAAGUAUGAAACAAUUGCUUGGCUUGUCAUCGGGGUUGCGCAUGAUUUAAAUACUUUGUGUGGUGAAGAUAGAGCAUAGCCAGACCAUAUGAUUUUGUAGGGAUAACUUUCUUUGGCCAUGUUAUUUUGAGAAGACAUAAUUGCUUAGUUAGUAUGCUUGAAGUAUUAUUAUUUUUAUGUCAAUAUUAAACUUUUGUCUUGAAUCUUUCGGAUCUGAACAUUCAUAGCACAAAUAAGAGAAUUACAUUGAAAUUAUGCCAAGUAGCAUUCCGCAUCAAAAAUUCUGUUUUUAUCAUUUACCUACUCGAGUACGAGCAGGAAUUAAGCUUGGGGAUGCUUGAUGCGUCUCCAACGUAUCUAUAAUUUUUGAUUGCUUCAUGCUAUAUUAUAUUCUGUUUUGGACAUUAUUGGGCUUUAUUAUACACUUUUAUAUUAUUUUUGGGACUAACCUAUUAACCGGAGGCCCAGCCCAUAAUUGCUUUUUUUGCCUAUUUCAGAGUUUCGCAGAAAAAGAAUAUCAAACGGAGUCCAAACGGAAUGAAACCUUCGGGAACGUGAUUUUCGGAACGAACGUGAUCCAGAGGACUUGGACCCUACGUCAAGACAUCAACCAGGAGGGCACGAGGUAGGGGGCGCGCCUACCCCCCUGGGCGCGCCCUCCACCCUCAUGGGCCCCACGUUGCUCCACCGACGUACUUCUUCCUCCUAUAUAUACCUACGUACCCCCAAACUACCAGAUACGGAGCAAAAACCUAAUUCCACCGCCGCAACCUUCUGUACCCGUGAGAUCCCAUCUUGGGGCCUUUUCCGGAGCUCCGCCGGAGGGGGCAUCGAUCAUGGAGGGCUUCUACAUCAACACCAUAGCCUCUCCGAUGAUGUGUGAGUAGUUUAUCUCAGACCUUCGGGUCCAUAGUUAUUAGCUAGAUGGCUUCUUCUCUCUUUUUGGAUCUCAAUACAAUGUUCUCCCCCUCUCUUGUGGAGAUCUAUUUGAUGUAAUCUUCUUUUGCGGUGUGUUUGUUGAGACCGAUGAAUUGUGGAUUUAUGAUCAAGUUUAUCUAUGAACAAUAUUUGAAUCUUCUCUGAAUUCUUUUAUGUAUGAUUGGUUAUCUUUGCAAGUCUCUUCGAAUUAUCAGUUUGGUUUGGCCUACUAGAUUGAUCUUUCUUGCAGUGGGAGAAGUGCUUAGCUUUGGGUUCAAUCUUGCGGUGUCCUUUCCCAGUGACAGUAGGGGCAGCAAGGCACGUAUUGUAUUGUUGCCAUCGAGGAUAACAAGAUGGGGUUUACAUCAUAUUGCAUGAAUUUAUCCCUCUACAUCAUGUCAUCUUGCUUAAAGCGUUACUCUGUUCUUAUUAAUCUCCCGUAGUAGUAGAUGUGUGGAGUAAUAGUAGUAGAUGUGUGGAGUAAUAGUAGUAGAUAGCGGUCGAUGUAUGGAGUAAUAGUAGUAGAUGCAGGCAGGAGUCGGUCUACUUGCCUCGGACGUGAUGCCUAUAUACAUGAUCAUACCUAGAUAUUCUCAUAACUAUGCUCAAUUCUGUCAAUUGCUCAACAGUAGUUUGUUCACCCACCGUAAUACUUAUGCUCUCGAGAGAAGCCACUAGUGAAACCUAUGGCCCCCGGGUCUAUUUUCUAUCAUAUUAAUCUCCCGUCAACAAGCUAUUUCUUUUGCCGUUUAUUUUGCUUUCUUUACUUUGCAUCUUUAUCAUAAAAAUUACCAAAUUUUUUAUCUUAUCAUAUCUAUCAGAUCUCACUCUCGUAAGUGACCGUGAAGGGAUUGACAACCCUUUAUUGCGUUCGUUGCGAGGAUUUAUUUGUUUGUGUAGGUGCGAGGGACUCGUGUGUGGCCUCCUACUGGAUUGAUACCUUGGUUCUCAAAAACUGAGGGAAAUACUUACGCUACUUUGCUGCAUCACCCUUUCUUCUUCAAGUGAAAACCAACGCAGUGCUCAAGAGGUAGCAGCUUGCAAUAGGGGUUAAUCAUAAGUGGGAUGCUUGUCCAAGAAAGGACAGCACCCAAGCAUCGGUCCACCCACACAUACCAAAUUAUCAAAGUAACGAACGCGAAUCAUAUGAGCGUGAUGAAAACUAGCUUGACGAUAAUUCUCAUGUGUCCUCGGGAGAAUUUUCCUUCAUAUAAGAGUUUGUCCAGGCUUGUCCUUUGCUACAAAAAGGAUUGGGCCAUCUUGCUGCACCUUAUUUACUUUCUUUACUGGUUGCCCGUUACAAAUUACCUUAUCACAAAACUAUCUGUUACCGAUAAUUUUAGUGCUUGUAGAGAAUACCUUACUGAAAAUCGCUUGUCAUUUCCUUCUGCUCCUCGUUGGGUUCGACACUCUUACUUAUCGAAAGGACUACGAUAGAUCCCCUACACUUGUGGGUCAUCAGUAUGACAGAGAGGUAUCUCUGGGCCCUCUCGGUAAUAGAACAUCACAAGAAUCUUGCAAGCAAAGUGACUAAGGAGUUAGUUACAGGAUGAUGUAUUACGGAACGAGUAAAGAGACUUGCCGGUGACGAGAUUCAACUAGGUAUGGAGAUACCGAUGAUCGAAUCUCAGACAAGUAACAUACCGACGGACAAAGGGAACUACGUAUGUUGUCAUAAAAGGUUCGCCGAUAAAAGAUCUUCGUAGAAUAUGCAGGAACCAAUACGGGCAUCCAGGUCCCGCUAUUGGGUAUUGACCGGAGAAGCAUCUCAGCCAUGUCUACAUCAUUCUCGAACCCGUAGGGUCCGCACACUUAACGUUCGUUGAUGAUAUAGUAUUAUAUGAGUUAUGUAUGUUGGUAACCGAAUGUUGUUCGGAGUUCCGGAUGAGAUCAUGGACAUGAUGAGGAGCUCCGGAAUAGUCCAGAGGUAAAGAUUAAUAAAUGGGAUAAUAGUGUUUGAUCUCCGGAAAGGUUCCAGAAUUCACCGGAAGGGGUUUCAGAUGUUUCCCGAAAUGUUCGGGUAAGAGGCAGUUUUGCAAAGGCCAGGGGCCAGAAGCUAGGGACCCUGGUGUCUGGGGCCAGACGCCAAGGACCCUGGCGUCUGGUCCUGGAGUCCGAGAAGGACUCUUGCCUUGCAGGCUAAACCGACUUUGAGGAUGCUCUUUCUCCAAGUUACGACCCCAGGGCUCAACAUAUAAAUAGAGGGGCAGGGCUAGCACCCGAAACACAUCAAGAUUCACCAAGCCGUGUGCCGGCAACCCCGCCCCUCUAGUUUAUCCUCCGUCUAGUUUCUGUUGUGCUUGGCAAAGCCCUGCGGAGAGUGUUCUUUACCACCACCGUCACCACGCCGCCGUGCUGCCAGAACUCAUCUACUUCUUCGCACCUCUUGCUAGAUCAAGAAGGCAAGUGAAGGAAAUAUGCCCUAGAGGCAAUAAUAAAGUUGUUAUUUAUAUUUCCUUAUAUCCUGAUAAAUGUUUAUUAUUCAUGCUAGAAUUGUAUUAACCGGAAACUUAGUACAUGUGUGAAUACAUAGACAAACAAAGUGUCCCUAGUAUGCCUCUACUAGACUAGCUCGUUAAUCAAAGAUGGUUAAGUUUCCUAGCCAUAGACAUGUGUUGUCAUUUGAUGAACGGGAUCACAUCAUUAGAGAAUGAUGUGAUGGACAAGACCCAUCCGUUAGCUUAGCACUAUGAUCGUUUAGUUUAUUGCUAUUGCUUUCUUCAUGACUUAUACAUGUUCCUAUGACUAUGAGAUUAUGCAACUCCCGAAUACCGGAGGAACACUUAGUGUGCUAUCAAACGUCACAGCGUAACUGGGUGAUUAUGAAGAUGCUCUACAGGUGUCUCCAAUGGUGUUUGUUGGGUUGGCAUAGAUCGAGAUUAGGAUUUGUCACUCCGUGUUUCGAAGAGGUAUCUCUGGGCCCUCUCGGUAAUGCACAUCAUUAUAAGCCUUGCAAGCAAUGUGACUAAUGAGUUAGUUGCGGGAUGAUGCAUUACGGAACGAGUAAAGAGACUUGCCGGUAACAAGACUGAACUAGGUAUUGAGAUACCGACGAUCAAAUCUCGGGCAAGUAACAUACCGAUGACAAAGGGAACAACGUAUGUUGUUAUGCGGUUCGACCGAUAAAGAUCUUCGUAGAAUAUGUGGGAGCCAAUAUGAGCAUCCAGGUUCCGCUAUUGGUUAUUGACCGGAGAUGAGUCUCGGUCAUGUCUACAUAGUUCUCAAACCCGUAGGGUCCGCACGCUUAACGUUCGAUGACGAUCGGUAUUAUGAGUUUAUGUGUUUUGAUGUACCGAAGGUUGUUCGGAGUCCCGGAUGUGAUCACGGACAUGACGAGGAGUCUCGAAAUGGUCGAGACAUAGAUUGAUAUAUUGGAAGGCUAUGUUUGGACACCGGAAAGGUUUCGGAUGAGUUCGGGCAUUUUCCGGAGUACCGGGGGGUUACUGGAACCCCCGGGGGCUUAAUGGGCCUACAUGGGCUUUAGUGGAAGAGAGAGGAGGCGGCCAAGAGGAGGGGCGCCCCCUAGCCCAAUCCGAAUUGGGAGGGGGCCGGGCCCCCUUUCCUUCUUCUCUUCUUCCCCUUCCUUCCCCCUCCUAUUAGGACUAGGAAAGGGGGGAACCUACUCCUAGUAGGAGUAGGAUUCCCCCCCUUAGGGGCGCACCAUGAGGCCGGCUGGCCCCCUCCUCCCCUCCUUUAUAUACGGGGGAGGGGCACCCCAUAGACACACAAGUUGAUUGUUUAGCCGUGUGCGGUGCCGCCCUCCACAGAUUUCCACCUCGGUCAUAUCGUCGUAGUGCUUAGGCGAAGCCCUGCACCGGUAACUUCAUCAUCACCAUCACCACGCCGUCGUGCUGACGGAACUCUCCCUCGGCCUCAGCUGGAUCUAGAGUUCGAGGGACGUCACCGAGCUGAACGUGUGCACAUCGCGGAGGUGCCGUGCGUUCGGUACUUGAUCGGUUGGAUCGCGAAGACGUUCGACUACAUCAACCGCGUUACUUAACGCUUCCGGUCUACGAGGGUACGUAGACACACUCUCCCGCUCGUUGCUAUGCAUCACAUAGAUAGAUCUUGCGUGAUCGUAGGUAAAUUUUUUGAAAUACUGCGUUCCCCAACAGUGGCAUCAGAGCCAGAUCUAUGCGUAGAUGUUAUAUGCACGAGUAGAACACAAAGAGUUGUGGGCGAUAAUAGUCAUACUGCUUACCAGCAUGUCAUACUUUGAUUCGGCGGUAUUGUUGGAUGAAGCGGCCCAGACCGAUAUUACAUGUCCGCGUUCAUGAGACUGGUUCUACCGCCGUGCUUCGCACACAGGUGGCUAGUGGGUGUCUAUUUCUCCAACUUUAGUUGAAUCGAGUGUGACUACGCCCGGUCCUUGUUGAAGGUUAAAACAGCACACUUGACGAAAAAUCGUUGUGGUUUUUGAUGCGUAGAUAAGAACGGUUCUUACUAAGACCGUAGCAACCAUGUAAAACUUUUGUUUUGCAGGGCAUGUUGUGAUGUGACAUGGUCAAGACGUGAUGAUAUAUAAAUUGUUGUAUGAGAUGAUCAUGUUUUGUAACAGUUAUCGGCAACUAGCAGGAGCCAUAUGGUUGUCGUUUUAUUGUAUGAAAUGCAAUCGCCAUGUAAUUGCUUUACUUUAUCACUAAGCGGUACCGAUAGUCGUAGUAGCAAUAGUUGGCGAGACGACAACGAUGCUUCGAUGGAGAUCAAGGUGUCAAGCCGGUGAAGAUGGUGAUCAUGACAGUGCUUUGGAGAUGGAGAUCAAAGGCACCCGAUCAUCACGUGGUGUCUCGGCACGACGAACUGUCACAACGGUGCAUACUCAGGGAGAACACUUAUACCUUGAAAUUUAGUGAGAGACCAUCUUAUAAUGCUACCAUCGAACUAAGCAAAAUAAGAUGCAUAAAGGAUAAACAUCACAUGCAAUCAAAUAUAAGUGAUAUGAUAUGGCCAUCAAUACUCAGGUUAAACUUGACGAGCCUAGCAUAUGCAGAUAUGGCCUCGGAGCACUGAGACCGAAAGGUCGAGCGUGAAUCAUAUAGUAGAUAUGAUCAACAUAGUGAUGUUCACCAUUGAAAACUACUCCAUCUCAUGUGAUGAUCGGACAUGAUUUAAUUAAUAUGGAUCACGUGAUCACUUAGAUGAUUAGAGGGAUGUCUAUCUAAAUGGGAGUUCUUAAGUAAUAUGAUUAAUUGAACUUCAAUUUAUCAUGAACUUAGUACCUUGAUCGAUUGUAAGUGCAGCGGGAUAUUUCGUCCGAACCUGCGAGUGUCGUGUUCUCCUCAGGGACUAGGCAAGUCAAUGAUCGUGCUCAGAUAAAGCUAGGUAACACAAUUUAGAUUAUGAAUGCAAGAAAAUAAACCUAAUUAAACAAGGUAGUUCCCGAAGAUCGUCGCCAAAGAAAAUGCAAAAUAAGCAAAGGGGAGGUUCAGAUUGUCUAUAUUGUCUUUUUGGUGUUUUCCUAUUACUUGAGAAACUAAAAUGCUAACACAAAAGGAAACAACAGGACAUGAACACAUAUAUUUAUCUAACAAGCAUAUGACAGAGGGAAGAAACAAGAUAAUGGACAAGGAUGAAAAUGCUUCAUGUCACAACAUAUAUUACAGGUACAGAGCUAAUACAUAGACUGAAAAUUGAAUGAUCACACAACUGGCUACCACAGAGAGUAAUUUCAAUACAAAAUAAAAUCACAAAUAGUAACAUGAAUUUGUUACAGUGAGCUAGCUGACAUGGUUUACAUCACAAAACACACGUGUAUUUAUAUAGCACAUGUACUGGAGCUAACACAUGGACAACUGAAUAAAUUUCUGCAGUAAGGAACAAACACAUAAGGGAUCUCACACAUACAGUAGCAGAAUACUAAUUAACACAUGACAAGUACGAACUGAACAUAUAGCAGAUUACAGGCACUUAUAGAAUCUGAAUAUUACAAAGCUUCUUACUUCUCAAAUUACAGAAUAUUUAGAGAGAGAGAGAGAGAGAGAGAGAGAGAGAGAGAGAGAGAGAUGGCAGCAGCAAAAGGUGUAGGAGAAGAGAGGCAGCAGCAGAGGCAUGGGCAAGAAGGGGGCAGCAGCAGUUUUGGGGAGAAGAAGAAGGAGCAGCAGCAGCGUGGAGGGUUCAGCAGGGGCAGCAGCAAAGAUGUGGGAGAGAGAGAGAUCGCAGCAGGUGAAGGAAGAGGAGAGGAACAGCAGCAAGGAGCGAAGGGCGUAGAAGAAUUGCAGGUUGAAGAUGGGAGGAGCAGCAGAAGGUUGAGGAAGGCGAGGGGAAACAGCAGGGAGCAGCGGAGGUAAGGGAAGAAAGGCAGCAGAGAGAGAUGGAGAAGGAGUGGAGUCGCGCGGAGGAGGUGGUGGCGCGGUGGUGAUGGUCGUGGCUGGCGGUGCUGGAGAUGGUGAUGGAUGGCGCGGUGGUUCGAGGUGGUGAUGGGGCGCUGGCAGCGGCGGGUGGUGGAGAUGGAGUGGAUGAUGGAGUGGUGGCUGGAUGGAUGGCGCACCGCCACGCCGGCCUGGCCGCGGCGGCGGCCGGAGGGUGGAGAAGGGGAUCGGGAGAGAGAGAUGGAGAUAUGCCAGGCCCGAAGAGAUCGAAGGGAGCUGCUAGGGAUUUUGUUCCCCAUCUGAUCUGCCACUUUUGCACAUUAG